UGGCGGACGGGUGAGUAACGCGGUGGUAACCUGCCUUACACAGGGGGAUAACACUUAGAAAUAGGUGCUAAAACCGCAUAAGCGCACAGCUUCGCAUGAAGCGGUGUGAAAAACUCCGGUGGUGUAAGAUGGACCCGCGUCUGAUUAGCUUGUUGGCGGGGUAACGGCCCACCAAGGCGACGAUCAGUAGCCGGCCUGAGAGGGCGGACGGCCACAUUGGGACUGAGACACGGCCCAGACUCCUACGGAAGGCAGCAG
rnacentral:rRNA from 1 species